UAGGGAAUCUUCGGCAAUGGACGGAAGUCUGACCGAGCAACGCCGCGUGAGUGAAGAAGGUUUUCGGAUCGUAAAGCUCUGUUGUAAGAGAAGAACGAGUGUGAGAGUGGAAAGUUCACACUGUGACGGUAUCUUACCAGAAAGGGACGGCUAACUACGUGCCAGCAGCCGCGGUAAUACGUAGGUCCCGAGCGUUGUCCGGAUUUAUUGGGCGUAAAGCGAGCGCAGGCGGUUAGAUAAGUCUGAAGUUAAAGGCUGUGGCUUAACCAUAGUAGGCUUUGGAAACUGUUUAACUUGAGUGCAAGAGGGGAGAGUGGAAUUCCAUGUGUAGCGGUGAAAUGCGUAGAUAUAUGGAGGAACACCGGUGGCGAAAGCGGCUCUCUGGCUUGUAACUGACGCUGAGGCUCGAAAGCGUGGGGAGCAAACAGGAUUAGAUACCCUGGUAGUCCACGCUGUAAACGAUGAGUGCUAGGUGUUAGACCCUUUCCGGGGUUUAGUGCCGUAGCUAACGCAUUAAGCACUCCGCCUGGGGAGUACGACCGCAGGGUU
rnacentral:rRNA from 1 species